UCCUACGGGAGGCAGCAGUGAGGAAUAUUGGUCAAUGGUCGGGAGACUGAACCAGCCAAGCCGCGUGAGGGAUGAAGGUACAGAGUAUCGUAAACCUCUUUUGUCAGGGAACAAAGGCGGGGACGUGUCCCCGGAUGAGUGUACCUGAAGAAAAAGUAUCGGCUAACUCCGUGCCAGCAGCCGCGGUAAUACGGAGGAUGCGAGCGUUAUCCGGAUUUAUUGGGUUUAAAGGGUGCGCAGGCGGUCUGUUAAGUCAGCGGUCAAAGCCCGGGGCUCAACCCCGGCCCGCCGUUGAAACUGGCAGU
rnacentral:rRNA from 1 species